rnacentral:rRNA from 1 species
UACAGGGGGUGCAAACGUUGCUCGGAAUUAUUGGGCGUAAAGCGCGCGUAGGCGGCCACUUAAGUCGGAUGUGAAAGCCCCUGGCUCAACUGGGGAAGUGCACCCGAAACUGAAUGGCUUGAAUACAAAAGAGGGCCGCGGAAUUCCCGGUGUAGAGGUGAAAUUCGUAGAUAUCGGGAGGAACACCGGUGGCGAAGGCGGCGGCCUGGGUUGAUAUUGACGCUGAGGCGCGAAAGCGUGGGGAGCAAACAGG